rnacentral:rRNA from 1 species
UACGGAGGGUGCGAGCGUUGUCCGGAUUUAUUGGGUUUAAAGGGUGCGUAGGUGGCUUGUUAAGUCAGUGGUGAAAUACAGCCGCUCAACGGUUGAGGUGCCAUUGAUACUGACAAGCUUGAAACAAGUGGAGGUUGCCGGAAUGGAUGGUGUAGCGGUGAAAUGCAUAGAUAUCAUCCAGAACACCGAUUGCGAAGGCAGGUGACUAACGUUUGAUUUGACACUGAGGCACGAAAGCAUGGGGAGCAAACAGG